CCUCCUCAACGCGAUAGAUGUUUAUAUCUGAAACAUAUAUGAAACCAACCGUUACGUUCAUUUGUGUUUUUCCCCCCAAACAAAGAGAAAAUAAGUUGUAAAAGAAGCCUCUCAUAGUUCCUACAAUUUCUUCAUUCUCUUUGCUUUUUUCAGUAUUGCCUCGACAAGUUCGUGUGGUUCACGAUACUUGAAAUAUAUAUACCAGCGUAAAUAUAUAUUACCAGCGUGGGAAUUGUCUUGGAAAGUUGGAAAAUCUUUCAAGAGGAACAACAUUGCUAAUUGAGAUUAGAAACGGAAGGUAAAUAAAUCCUUGCUUCUACUUAGAGCUUUUUUAUUUACUUCUGACGAGUAAAGUACUGUUAUUAAAGUUUGAUUAAAGGUACCAAUAUAUAAACAACCAUUUGUGGAUAGGUCAGGUUAUAUAACUCAUAAUAAAGGUUAUAUAACUCUUAGUGAUUAAGUAAGAAAAGAGAAACGAGAAAAAGUCUUUUAUCUAGAUCUUAAUAAAGUAUACUAUAUUUAUCUCUAUAUCAAGAAUAACAACAAGAUAUAAACAGUCUUUUAGAAAUUGAACUCUUUGCAUCUUCUAUACAGGUAUUUCCUGAUCAUCUCAUAACACACAGGAAGAAAAAAUAGAGGAAGAGACAGCGUAAAAAAAUGUUGCGUAGGAGUAUCAUCGCACUACAUCGUUCGACAAUUGAUGCACGUCAUGGCGAUCGUCACGGUUUAAAGCAGGCCAUCAAAACACGUUUGUUAUCGUACGGAAAAAUCUGCGAUGUUCCAGCUGUUCAGGUGCAUCGAAUUGUGAAUCAUCGGCGGUACGAAGCAAGGCAAGGGGCGUAAAUGGAGAAAGAAGAAAAGAAAAAGAUUCGCAUAAAUGAUAAAAUAUAAUCGUUCGUUCCUCGUCGAUGGCGGAUGGAUGGCUUUAAUCGUGGACGAUAUCGAUACGAUUAUAUUUUAUACAUUUGAAACAAAUAUAAAAGACGAGCAUAAACCAGAGAUACGAUCGUUAUGAUAUUAUUCAAUCGGUAGCCUAUUUACCUCGUUUUUUAUUCACCUUCUCUGUCUAGUAAUAAUUUUUCGAUUCGACUGGCGUGACGUUACGUUGGCGGU